CAAUAGCGUAUAUUAAAGUUGUUGCAGUUAAAAAGCUCGUAGUUGGAUUUCUGGUUGAAGCGACCGGUCGGGCGUUGAUUCGUCUGCACCGGAGUCGGUUUUGGCCAUCCUCUAGGAAAGUGCGUCUGGUAUUAAGUUAUCGGGCGUAUGAUCCUGGUCUUUUACUGUGAAAAAAUUAGAGUGUUUAAAGCAGGCCUUCGCCUUGAAUACAUUAGCAUGGAAUAAUAAGAUAGGACUUUGGUCUAUUUUGUUGGUUUGCAGACCGAAGUAAUGAUUAAUAGGGAUAGUUGGGGGUAUUUAUAUUCCGAUGUCAGAGGUGAAAUUCUUAGAUUUUCGGAAGAUAAACUUAUGCGAAAGCAUUUACCAAGGAUGUUUUCAUUA
rnacentral:rRNA from 1 species